GGCCUAGACGAGGGAACCCUGAGCAGCCCGCCGAGAGAGUGAGGAAGGCCUUCGGGUCGUAAAGCUCUGUCACCCGGGAAGAACAAGCAGUGGGGGAAAGUUCCAUUGCCCUGAUUGUACCGGGGAAGGAAGCACCGGCUAACUCUGUGCCAGCAGCCGCGGUAAUACAGAGGGUGCAAGCGUUGUUCGGAUUUACUGGGCGUAAAGCGUGCGUAGGCUGUAUUGAGAGUCGCGGGUGAAAUCCCAGGGCUUAACCCUGGAACUGCCUGCGAGACCUCAGUACUAGAGUGUGAGAGGGGAUAGUGGAAUUCCAGGUGUAGCGGUGAAAUGCGUAGAGAUCUGGAGGAACACCGGUGGCGAAGGCGGCUAUCUGGCUCACAACUGACGCUCAGGCACGAAA
rnacentral:rRNA from 1 species